GACGAACGCUGGCGGCGUGCUUAACACAUGCAAGUCGAACGGAAAGGCCCUGCUUUUGUGGGGUGCUCGAGUGGCGAACGGGUGAGUAACACGUGAGUAACCUGCCCUUGACUUUGGGAUAACUUCAGGAAACUGGGGCUAAUACCGGAUAGGAGCUCCUGGUGCAUGGUGGGGGUUGGAAAGUUUCGGCGGUUGGGGAUGGACUCGCGGCUUAUCAGCUUGUUGGUGGGGUAGUGGCUUACCAAGGCUUUGACGGGUAGCCGGCCUGAGAGGGUGACCGGCCACAUUGGGACUGAGAUACGGCCCAGACUCCUACGGGAGGCAGCAGUGGGGAAUAUUGCACAAUGGGCGGAAGCCUGAUGCAGCAACGCCGCGUGCGGGAUGACGGCCUUCGGGUUGUAAACCGCUUUCGCCUGUGGCGAAGCGUGAGUGACGGUAAUGGGUAAAGAAGCACCGGCUAACUACGUG
rnacentral:rRNA from 1 species